CGUAACAAGGUUUCCGUAGGUGAACCUGCGGAAGGAUCAUUAUCAAAACAGCGGACUUCGGUCCUUGCUGCACCCUUGUCUUUUGCGUACCGUAUGUUUCCUCGGCGGGCUUGCCUGCCGGUUGGACAUUAUCAAACCUUUUUGUAGUUGCAAUCAGCGUCAGAAAAUAAUAAUAAUUACAACUUUCAACAACGGAUCUCUUGGUUCUGGCAUCGAUGAAGAACGCAGCGAAAUGCGAAAAGUAGUGUGAAUUGCAGAAUUCAGUGAAUCAUCGAAUCUUUGAACGCACAUUGCGCCCCUUGGUAUUCCAUGGGGCAUGCCUGUUCGAGCGUCAUUUUGUACCCUCAAGCACUGCUUGGUGUUGGGCGCUUGUCCUGCAAAGGACUCGCCUGAAAGCGAUUGGCGGCCAACGUACUGGUGGUAGAGCGCAGCACAAUUUGCGUCUUUCCCCUCUGCGUUAGCGUCCAUAAAGCCUAUUUCAACGUUUGACCUCGGAUCAGGUAGGGAUACCCGCUGAACUUAAGCAUAUCAAUAA
rnacentral:misc_RNA from 1 species